AUUGAACGCUGGCGGCAUGCCUUACACAUGCAAGUCGAACGGCAGCGGGGACUUCGGUCCGCCGGCGAGUGGCGAACGGGUGAGUAAUGUAUCGGAACGUACCAUUCAGUGGGGGAUAACUAUCCGAAAGGAUAGCUAAUACCGCAUAUUCUGUGAGCAGGAAAGCAGGGGAUCGCAAGAACUUGCUCUGCUUGAGCGGACGAUAUCGGAUUAGCUAGUUGGUGAGGUAACGGCACACCAAGGCUACGAUCUGUAGCGGGUGUGAGAGGAUGAUCCGCAACACUGGGACUGAGACACGGCCCAGACUCUUACGGGAGGCAGCAGUGGGGAAUUUUGGACAAUGGGCGCAAGCCUGAUCCAGCCAUGCCGCGUGAGUGAAGAAGGCCUUCGGGUUGUAAAGCUCUUUCGGCCGGGAAGAAAUCGCAUCAGCUAAUACCUGGUGUGGAUGACGGUACCGGAAUAAGAAGCACCGGCUAACUACGUGCCAGCAGCCGCCGUAAGAC
rnacentral:rRNA from 1 species